UCAAGCGAACAAGGGCGCAGGGCGAAUGCCUUGGCACUGGGAGCCGAUGAAAGACGUGAUAAGCUGCGAUAAGCUUCGGGGAGCUGCAAAUAAGCAUUGAUCCGGAGAUUUCUGAAUGAGGAAACUCACCUGGGUUCAUACUCAGGUACGUUAUACUGAACUUAAAAAUAGGUAUAUCGAGGGAACCGCCUGAACUGAAACAUCUAAGUAGGGCGAGGAAGAGACAUCAAACGAGAUUCCGUAAGUAGUGGCGAGCGAACGCGGAAGAGGGCAAACCGGAAGUAGAAAUACUUCCGGGGUACGGACCGCAUUUAGGACUUGAGUUGUUAACCGAACGGCAUGGGAAGGCCGGUCAGAGAGUGUGAGAACCACGUAGGUGAAAACGACAAGAGCUGAGCGAGUUCCAGAGUACGGCCAGACACGUGAAACCUGGUCGGAAUACGGGGGGAUCACCCUCCAACCCUAAAUACUACCCAGUGACCGAUAGCGUAUAGUACUGUGAAGGAAAGGUGAAAAGCACCCCGGGAGGGGAGUGAAAAAGAACCUGAAACCCUGUGCCUACAAGCACCUAGAGCACGUCAAUGUGUGAUAGGGUACUUUUUGUAGAACGGUCCGGCGAGCGAUUGUAUGCAGCAAGGUUAAGGACUUAAGGUCUGGAGCCGAAGCGAAAGCGAGUUUGAAAAGGGCGUUAAGUUGCAUACAAUGGGCCCGAAACCGGGUGACCUACCCAUGGUCAGGUUGAAGUGGAAGUAAAAUUCCAUGGAGGACCGAACCGACCUCCGUUGAAAAGGCGGCGGAUGAACUGUGGGUAGCGGAGAAAUUCCAAUCGAACCCGGAGAUAGCUGGUUCUCCCCGAAAUAGUUUUAGGACUAGCCUCAAGUUAGAUACCUGGAGGUAAAGCACUGAAUAGCCUAGCGGCCGAGAGGUUAGCGAAGCUUAUCAAACUCAGAAUGCCAGAGUAUUGAUGCUUGGGAGUCAGACAGUGUCAGAUAAAUGUCAUUGUCAAAAGGGAAACAGCCCAGAUCUACAGCUAAGGUCCCAAAGUCAGGUUAAGUGGAAAACGAUGUGAAGAUACGUAGACAACCAGGAUGUUGGCUCAGAAGCAGCCACACAUUCAAAGAGUGCGUAAUAGCUCACUGGUCGAGCGUCUUUGCGCGGAGAAUUUAACGGGGCUAAACCUGACACCGAAGCUUAGGCAAUACAGCAAUGUAUUGGGUAGGGGAGCGUUGUAUACGCGGUGAAACAGUAGCGCAAGCGGCUGUGGAGUGUAUAGAAGUGAGAAUGCCGGAAUGAGUAGCGCGAAUGCAGUGAGAAUCUGCAUGGCCGAAAGCCUCAGGUUUCUGGAGGAAGGUUCGUCCGCUCCAGGUUAGUCGGGAGCUAAGGUGAGGCCUAACGGCGUAGCCGAUGCACAGACGGUAGAGAUUCCGUCACCACCAAAAGAGUUAAACACAGGGACACAUUUGAAGUCUCGGAGCCGGGUGUUGGUUCCGGUAGCGAUCGAGGGAAGUUAGUACCGAAGUCCGGGAUGGAAGAUGGCGAGAAAAGCUGUGUGUAUUUCUGCGGUGCCCGUACCGCAAACCGACACAGGUAGGUAGGAAGAAGAUUCUAAGGCCAACGGGAGAAGGGUUGUUAAGGAACUCGGCAAAUUGACCCCGUAACUUCGGGAGAAGGGGUGCUCCAGAGAUGGAGCCGCAGAGAAUCGGCCCAAGCAACUGUUUACCAAAAACACAGGUUUGUGCUAAAUCGAAAGAUGACGUAUACGAGCUGACGCCUGCCCGGUGCUGGAAGGUUAAGAGGAGAUGUGCAAGCAUUGAAUCGAAGCCCCAGUGAACGGCGGCCGUAACUAUAACGGUCCUAAGGUAGCGAAAUUCCUUGUCAGGUAAGUUCUGACCCGCAUGAAAGGCGUAAUGAUUUGGGCACUGUCUCGACAGCCCGCCCGGCGAAAUUGUAGUACCGGUGAAGAUGCCGGUUACCCGCGACAAGACGGAAAGACCCCAUGGAGCUUUACUGUAGCCUAAUAUUGGGUUUCGAUGUUGCAUGCACAGGAUAGAUGGGACACAGGGAAACAAGUGCUUUGGCAUUUGUGGAGUGGCCGUUGGGAUACCAUCCUUGCGAUAUUGGAAUUCUAACCUGCGCCUUUGAAUCAAGGCGGGGGACAUUGUUAGGUGGGCAGUUUGACUGGGGCGGUCGCCUCCUAAAGAGUAACGGAGGCGUUCAAAGGUUCGCUCAGCUUGAACGGAAAUCAAGCAAAAGAGUGCAAACGCAGAAGCGAGCCUAACUGCGAGACUGACGGGUCGAGCAGUAACGAAAGUUGGAGUUAGUGAUCCGGUGGUAUGUGAGUGGAAAUGCCAUCGCUCAACGGAUAAAAGUUACCCUGGGGAUAACAGGCUGAUCUCCCCCAAGAGUCCACAUCGACGGGGAGGUUUGGCACCUCGAUGUCGGCUCAUCGCAUCCUGGGGCUGUAUUCGGUCCCAAGGGUUUGGCUGUUCGCCAAUUAAAGCGGUACGCGAGCUGGGUUCAGAACGUCGUGAGACAGUUCGGUCCCUAUCUGUCGUGGGCGCAGGAUAUUUGAUGGGAGCUGUUCCUAGUACGAGAGGACCGGAGCGGACGUACCUCUGGCGCACCAGUUGUUCUGCCAAGGGCAUAGCUGGGCAACUAUGUACGGAUCGGAUAAACGCUGAAAGCAUCUAAGCGUGAAGCCGACCCAAAGAUAAGAUAUCCCAUUGUUUCAAACAAGUAAGACCCCUUGAAGACUACAAGGUUGAUAGGCACGAUGUGUAAGUGGAGUGAUCCAUUCAGCAAGCGUGUACUAAUAGGUCGAGGGCUUGACCAC
rnacentral:rRNA from 1 species